UAAUCUGUUCAAGGACUGCCGAAGACAGUAGGUAUUCGCAAGAAUGUAAGGAUGAGAUUCAGACGCCUACCGAGGAAAAAUCGAUACAAAAUGUAUGACUUUACAACCUCUAUGUCUUAGGAUGUAGAGGUUUUAUUUUUUAUCU
rfam:Dorea sp. CAG:105 genomic scaffold, scf237